AUUGAACGCUGGCGGCAUGCUUUACACAUGCAAGUCGAACGGCAGCGCGGGCUUCGGCCUGGCGGCGAGUGGCGAACGGGUGAGUAAUACAUCGGAACGUGACCAGCAUAUGGGGAUAGCUCGGCGAAAGCCGGACUAAUACCGCAUACGACCUGAUGGUGAAAGCGGGGGAUCUUCGGACCUCGCGCGAUUGGAGCGCCGAUGGCAGAUUAGCUAGUUGGUGGGGUAAAGGCCUACCAAGGCGACGAUCUGUAGCUGGUCUGAGAGGACGACCAGCCACACUGGGACUGAGACACGGCCCAGACUCCUACGGGAGGCAGCAGUGGGGAAUUUUGGACAAUGGGCGAAAGCCUGAUCCAGCAAUGCCGCGUGUGUGAUGAAGGCCUUCGGGUUGUAAAGCACUUUUGGCGGGAACGAAAAGGACUGUGCCAAUACAACGGUUCGAUGACGGUACCCGCAGAAUAAGCACCGGCUAACUACGUG
rnacentral:rRNA from 1 species